GGAUGGCCUGUAUACUGCAAAUGCACACGUAUCUAGACAAGAGAUUAGAGAGAAGGAGAGAGAACUAUCAGUACACAUAAAUUACCUCCAUCCCAAAUAAAACUAAAAGCAAACAGCAAAUAAUAUCCUUUUUGAGUUAUGUUAGUUGCAGAACGGAUGCAAAUGAGCUAACUGAUGUUUUAUUCAUCCCGGUGAAAAUAGGUAACUCAAAUGAACUUCAUCCAAGCCAAUAAAAUAAAAAUGUUAAAAUAAGUUACUGCAGCAAUAAAAGGGAGGGGAAAUUUAUAAUUAUUGAAAAUGAAAUUCAGUCAUUCUUAAAAAGAUUAAAAAAGAAAAAAGACCACAUCAAAAAGGUUAUGAGAUUAAAACAUAUUUAUGCAGAAUGCCAACUUUUCCAGGAGCGUUUAAAAAAAGGGUCCAACGUGCUAUUGUCAGCUGUUGCUCAGCUUGUUACCCAAAGAAGGAAAGGGUCUUAGUGUUAAUGACUUGAUGUCCUAGAAUCAAGCCAAUGUCAUGAUGUGCAUGUGGUCUAUUUUUACACAGCCUGGCAGUCUCAAGAUGGUUUAUAUUCAAGAUAAUCAUAGGAGCCUUUGGGAUGUCUCUAAGCAAGGCAGCCGUUUUAGAGAUGAAGAAAAACACUGCAGUUAUUAUAAAUCAUUGCGUUCAUUGUACUGUUGGCAAUGCAAAUCUACUUUUCUAUGGUUCCAGUUGGCAUUCUUAUGGUCUAUUAUUGGAUAGUUAAGCACAGCAGCAUUGCACAUGAUCAUUUAUGAUAGUCACCUUUUUCUUUUUUUUUUUGAUACGGUCAGCCUUAGCAGCCUAGAUUCCUAAUUGUGAUCAGGACAGUGAUGACCUCCAACAAGAUCAUGAGAUCUCAUGGACAUACAGGUGACUAUUUGAGGAAGAAUAUCUUAACCAAGGGAAAAGUGAUAAUAUAUAUGGUCUCUCAAAGCUAGUGCUGUUUUUUAUGCUGAAUUCGUUUGGGAAUUGGGUCCUUGAGAACUAAAUCUCAGAGAGUGGACUGACACAACUUGGUUCCAUUCGCACCAUCAAUCCCCAAAACCUCUUUUAUUUCUGGUUCUCGGCCUACAAUUCUUAAUGAAAUGGAAAAGCAUCACUAGUCUAAACUGCCUUUACUGCGAUUACAUUCUUGAGGCAAGGAAUUGGAUGUUCUUCUCAUGCUCAUUCACAUAGAAAGAAGGGGAAAUGAUAAUGCAAAAAUUCUGUAAGGUAAGACAGGCUAAAGAGUGCAUUGCUAUUGAUAAAAAUAUAGAUUAUCUAAUAUUGCACCUGUGGUAUGUAUAUUCUCUUACUUGAUGAGUUCGGCCAGUGAUAGG
rnacentral:misc_RNA from 1 species